GUGAGGAAUAUUGGUCAAUGGGCGGGAGCCUGAACCAGCCAAGUCGCGUGAAGGAAGAAGGAUCUAUGGUUCGUAAACUUCUUUUGCAGGGGAAUAAAGUGCAGGACGUGUCCUGUUUUGUAUGUACCCUGAGAAUAAGGAUCGGCUAACUCCGUGCCAGCAGCCGCGGUAAUACGGAGGAUCCGAGCGUUAUCCGGAUUUAUUGGGUUUAAAGGGUGCGUAGGUGGUUUGAUAAGUCAGCGGUGAAAGUUUGCAGCUUAACUGUAAAAAUGCCGUUGAAACUGUCGGACUUGAGUGUAAAUGAGGUAGGCGGAAUGCGUGGUGUAGCGGUAAAAUGCAUAGAUAUCACGCAGAACUCCGAUUGCGAAGGCAGCUUACUAAGCUACAACUGACACUGAAGCACGAAAGCGUGGGGAUCAAACAGGAUUAGAAACCCGAGUAGUCC
rnacentral:rRNA from 1 species